rnacentral:rRNA from 1 species
GACGAACGGAGCGAACGUUGUUCGGAAUCACUGGGCUUAAAGGGCGCGUAGGCGGAUUCUCAAGUCUGGGGUGAAAUCCCACAGCUCAACUGUGGAACUGCCUCGGAUACUGGGAGUCUCGAGGGUGGCAGGGGUAUGCGGAACUAUCGGUGGAGCGGUGAAAUGCGUUGAUAUCGAUAGGAACUCCGGUGGCGAAGGCGGCAUACUGGUCCACUUCUGACGCUGAGGCGCGAAAGCCAGGGGAGCAAACGGG